UAGAGUUUGAUCAUGGCUCAGGACGAACGCUGGGCGGCGUGCUUAACACAUGCAAGUCGAACGAUGAAGACUGGUGCUUGCACUGGUUGGAUUAGUGGCGAACGGGUGAGUAAUACGUGAGUAACCUGCCUUUGACUCUGGGAUAAGCCUGGGAAACUGGGUCUAAUACCGGAUAUGACAAGGAACCGCAUGGUUUUUUGUGGAAAGGGUUUGUACUGGUUUUAGAUGGGCUCACGGCCUAUCAGCUUGUUGGUGGGGUAAUGGCUCACCAAGGCGACGACGGGUAGCCGGCCUGAGAGGGUGACCGGCCACACUGGGACUGAGACACGGCCCAGACUCCUACGGGAGGCAGCAGUGGGGAAUAUUGCACAAUGGGCGCAAGCCUGAUGCAGCGACGCCGCGUGAGGGAUGACGGCCUUCGGGUUGUAAACCU
rnacentral:rRNA from 1 species